CAAUAGCGUAUACUAAAGUUGUUGCAGUUAAAAAGCUCGUAGUCGAAUGAAGGUUCUUUUGUUACGUGAACUCGUAGGUGUAACUUAUGUAGUUUGUGUACAAAGACCUCCCUCGUAUGAAACGAUUUUUCUGAUUUUCAGGAAGAUACGGUCAUACGCAUUACUGUGAACAAAAUAGAGUGUUCAUGGCAGGCCAAUUAGGCUUGAAUACCUCAGCAUGGAAUAAUAGAAUAGGACUUCCGGUUCUAUUUUGUUGGUUUUUGGAGCCGAAGUAAUGAUUAAUAGGGGCAGUCAGGGGCACUCGUAUUCCGUCGAGAGAGGUGAAAUUCUCAGACCAAUGGAAGACGAACCACUGCGAAAGCAUUUGCCAGGGAUGUUUUCACUGAUCAAGAACGAAAGUUAGGGGAUCGAAGACGAUCAGAUACCGU
rnacentral:rRNA from 1 species